rnacentral:rRNA from 1 species
CGCGUAGGUGGUUUGAUAAGGGUGUGGUGAAAGUCCGGGGCUCAACCCCGGAUCUGCCGUGCCGACUGUCAAACUCGAGGACUGUAGAGGCAGGCGGAAUUCCGGGUGUAGCGGUGGAAUGCGUAGAGAUCCGGAGGAAGACCGGUGGCGAAGGCGGCCUGCUGGGCAGUUUCUGACACUGAUGCGCGACAGCGUGGGGAGCAAACA